rnacentral:ncRNA from 22 species
AAUUUCAUAUUUUUAUAUAGUGAUAUUUUUACAAUAUUGAAAAGGGAAUCCGGUUUGAAUCCGGAACAGCUCACUCUACUGUAUUAUGGACGAAAAUCUCAAUAACCACUCUUUCCGGGGAAGGUGAGAUUUAAGGAAGAAGUUAAGUCAGGAGACCUGCUAUAUAAUUUAAUACAAAU